ACAAGCGGUGGAGCAUGUGGUUUAAUUCGAUGAUACGCGAGGAACCUUACCUGGGCUCAAAUGUAUGUUGACGUAUUCUGAAAGGGAUACUUCUUCGGACAAUAUACAAGGUGCUGCAUGGUUGUCGUCAGCUCGUGCCGUGAGGUGUCGGGUUAAGUCCCAUAACGAGCGCAACCCCUAUCAUUAGUUGCCAGCAGUUCGGCUGGGCACUCUAAAGGGACUGCCGGUGUUAAACCGGAGGAAGGUGGGGAUGACGUCAAGUCCUCAUGGCCUUUAUGACCAGGGCUACACACGUACUACAAUGGCCGAUACAAAGGGCAGCGACACUGCGAGGUGAAGCCAAUCCCGUAAAAUCGGUCUCAGUCCGGAUUGGAGUCUGCAACUCGACUCCAUGAAGUUGGAAUCGCUAGUAAUCGUGGAUCAGCAUGCCACGGUGAAUACGUUCCCGGGCCUU
rnacentral:rRNA from 1 species